ACAGUAAGAACAAGUAAGAUGUAGAAUUGUCCAACCAAAUAGGUUGUCUUAUCAAAUGCUAUAGAUUGUUUGUUAAAAAAAAAAAGUCUUGGAUUCUAUUUUGCAAAAAUCUGAAUAUUCAAUAUAUAUAUAGAUAUAAUUAAAGGGACACGAUAGUCACUAGAAUAACUACAGCUUAAUGUAGUGGUUUUGUAGAGUAUAGCAUGUUCCUGCAAGCUUUUUAAUGUAAACUCUGCCUUUUCAUAGAAAAGGUAGUGUUUACAUCACUCCCUAGGGACACCGCCAGUUGCCGUCAGUGGCGGAACCAGGGAGGGGGCAACAGGGCAAUUGCUCCCAACUAAGGAAAAAGUGAGGCCGAGGGUCUCCCAUGCUGGCACAUGCAGGGCUGGCACAAUCCAAAUGCCGGCCCUGCUGUUUGCCUUCAUAGAUCUCCCUCACUGCCC